UACUCUGGUUUUUCUUCCGACUGAAUCAAUCUUUCACCUUUUACUAAAGAUUUCCAUGGAGAGAGGGAAAAAAAAGAAAUUAUUUGAAUCGCAGUAGAAAGUCCUGAAAGUGGAAGUU